CCUCCACUGGGGACAUUGCGCUGACACAGUCUCCAGCUUCCUUGGCUAUGUCUCCAGGAGAGAGGGCCACCAUUUCCUGCAGGGCCAGCCAGAGUGUCAAUGAUAUUUUUGGCACCAGUGUUCUGAACUGGUAUCAACAAAAACCAGGACAUCCCCAUAAACUCCUGAUCUAUGAAGCACCUAGUCAAGACUCUGGGGUCCCAGCCAGGUUCAGUGGCAGUGGGUCUGGAACUGACUUCACCCUCACAAUCCACCCUGUGGAGGCUGACAAUGCUGCGAACUAUUACUGUCAGCAGAAUAAUGAGCUUCCUCCCAUGUUGCUCUAG